rnacentral:rRNA from 1 species
CACGUAGGGUGCGAGCGUUUGUCCGGAAUUAUUGGGCGUAAAGAGCUCGUAGGCGGUUUGUCGCGUCUGCCGUGAAAGUCCGGGGCUCAACUCCGGAUCUGCGGUGGGUACGGGCAGACUAGAGUGAUGUAGGGGAGACUGGAAUUCCUGGUGUAGCGGUGAAAUGCGCAGAUAUCAGGAGGAACACCGAUGGCGAAGGCAGGUCUCUGGGCAUUAACUGACGCUGAGGAGCGAAAGCAUGGGGAGCGAACAGG